UUCUCUUAAAAAGCUUGUUCACAAAAUAUAGUGUUAACUCUUGAUAUCCGGAGCGAGAUAUCAAUAUCUUGAGGGAGAAAGCAUUACUCUGUUUUUAUACAUACAUUUUUGCAUAAAAAAUUAAAAUAGACUGGUAUGCCUAAUGCAACACACAGGUACGAGGGAAUCAGACUUAGGUGAAUUGCUCAAAACUGGAUAGAUACAGGAAUUCACCAAACACCUGUCUUAAGAAGUUUUUGUAAUAGGAGAAAAUAAAAUAUAACAACCUUAGUUGAUAUAUAUAGUCCAGG